rnacentral:rRNA from 1 species
GACGAACGCUGGCGGCGUGCUUAACACAUGCAAGUCGAACGGAAAGGCCCUGCUUUUGUGGGGUGCUCGAGUGGCGAACGGGUGAGUAACACGUGAGUAACCUGCCCUUGACUUUGGGAUAACUUCAGGAAACUGGGGCUAAUACCGGAUAGGAGCUCCUGCUGCAUGGUGGGGGUUGGAAAGUUUCGGCGGUUGGGGAUGGACUCGCGGCUUAUCAGCUUGUUGGUGGGGUAGUGGCUUACCAAGGCUUUGACGGGUAGCCGGCCUGAGAGGGUGACCGGCCACCUUGGGACUUAGAUACGGCCCAGACUCCUACGGGAGGCAGCAGUGGGGAAUAUUGCACAAUGGGCGGAAGCCUGAUGCAGCAACGCCGCGUGCGGGAUGACGGCCUUCGGGUUGUAAACCGCUUUCGCCUGUGACGAAGCGUGAGUGACGGUAAUGGGUAAAGAAGCACCGGCUAACUACGUG